GGAGGGUUAUCGAAGCGGUCAUAACGAGGCGGUCUUGAAAACCGUUUGCCGGAAACGGCGCGUGAGUUCGAAUCUCACACCCUCUGCCA
rnacentral:tRNA from 1 species